CAAUAGCGUAUAUUAAAGUUGUUGCGGUUAAAAAGCUCGUAGUUGGAUUUCUGCUGAGAACGACCGGUCCGCCCUUUGGGUGUGUAUCUGGCUCUUUCUUGGCAUCUUCUUGGUGAACGUUGCUGCACUUGACUGUGUGGAGCGCUACCCAGGACUUUUACUUUGAGGAAAUUAGAGUGUUUCAAGCAGGCAUACGCCUUGAAUACAUUAGCAUGGAAUAAUAAGAUAGGACCUCGGUUCUAUUUUGUUGGUUUCUAGAGCUGAGGUAAUGAUUAAUAGGGAUAGUUGGGGGCAUUCGUAUUUAACUGUCAGAGGUGAAAUUCUUGGAUUUGUUAAAGACGGACCACUGCGAAAGCAUUUGCCAAGGAUGUUUUCAUUG
rnacentral:rRNA from 1 species